UAGGAAAUAUUGCUUAAUGGGCGAAAGCCUGAAGCAGCAACGCCGCGUGCACGAUGAAGGCCUUCGGGUCGUAAAGUGCUUUUUGGAGGGAUGAGGAAGGACAGUACCUCCAGAAUAAGCCUCGGCUAACUACGUGCCAGCAGCCGCGGUAAAA
rnacentral:rRNA from 1 species